GACGAACGCUGGCGGCGUGCUUAACACAUGCAAGUCGAACGGAAAGGCCCUGCUUUUGUGGGGUGCUCGAGUGGCGAACGGGUGAGUAACACGUGAGUAACCUGCCCUUGACUUGGGGAUAACUUCAGGAAACUGGGGCUAAUACCGGAUAGGUGCUCCUGCUGCAUGGUGGGGGUUGGAAAGUUUCGGCGGUUGGGGAUGGACUCGCGGCUUAUCAGCUUGUUGGUGGGGUAGUGGCUUACCAAGGCUUUGACGGGUAGCCGGCCUGAGAGGGUGACCGGCCACAUUGGGACUGAGAUACGGCCCAGACUCCUACGGGAGGCAGCAGUGGGGAAUAUUGCACAAUGGGCGGAAGCCUGAUGCAGCAACGCCGCGUGCGGGAUGACGGCCUUCGGGUUGUAAACCGCUUUCGCCUGUGACGAAGCGUGAGUGACGGUAAUGGGUAAAGAAGCACCGGCUAACUACGUG
rnacentral:rRNA from 1 species